rnacentral:rRNA from 1 species
UACGUAGGGCGCAAGCGUUGUCCGGAAUUAUUGGGCGUAAAGAGCUCGUAGGCGGCUUGUCACGUCGAUUGUGAAAGCCCGAGGCUUAACCUCGGGUCUGCAGUCGAUACGGGCUAGCUAGAGUGUGGUAGGGGAGAUCGGAAUUCCUGGUGUAGCGGUGAAAUGCGUAGAUAUCGGGAGGAACACCAGUGGCGAAGGCGACUUUCUGGCCUGUUCUUGACGCUGAGGCGCGAAAGCUAGGGGAGCAAACGGG